rnacentral:rRNA from 1 species
UACAGAGGGGGCAAGCGUUGUUCGGAAUUACUGGGCGUAAAGGGCGCGUAGGCGGCCUUCUAAGUCGAACGUGAAAUCCCCGGGCUCAACCCGGGAACUGCGUCCGAUACUGGAAGGCUUGAAUCCGGGAGAGGGAUGCGGAAUUCCAGGUGUAGCGGUGAAAUGCGUAGAUAUCUGGAGGAACACCGGGUGGCGAAGGCGGCAUCCUGGACCGGUAUUGACGCUGAGACGCGAAAGCGUGGGGAGCAAACAGGG